rnacentral:rRNA from 1 species
UGGGGAAUAUUGGACAAUGGGCGAAAGCCUGAUCCAGCCAUGCCGCGUGAGUGACGAAGGCCUUAGGGUUGUAAAACUCUUUCGUCGGGGACGAUAAUGACGGUACCCGAAGAAGAAGCUCCGGCUAACUUCGUGCCAGCAGCCGCGGUAAUACGAAGGGAGCUAGCGUUGUUCGGAAUCACUGGGCGUAAAGCGUACGUAGGCGGUGACUCAAGUCAGAGGUGAAAUCCCGGAGCUCAACUUCGGAACUGCCUUUGAUACUGGCAAUCUAGAGUCCGGAAGAGGUUAGUGGAAUUCCCAGUGUAGAGGUGAAAUUCGUAGAUAUUGGGAAGAACACCAGUGGCGAAGGCGGCUAACUGGUCCGGUACUGACGCUGAGGUGCGAAAGCGUGGGGAGCAAACAGGAUUAGAUACCCUAGUAGUCCCUGAGCGGGCUGGCAAGGCGCAU